rfam:Human gut metagenome DNA, contig sequence: In-A_001024.
CCCGCUGUUCCGUCAGCGGUAGCCUACUAUAAGGUGCAUCUCCAGUGAUGGGUUGUGCCAAGCUUAUAGGACAAAGUACACUCUCCGAAAGGACAAGACUGAACCGUGAGGGAACGUCAAGGGGCGGUUAGUAUCAUACUGCCGAGUGG